CCUACGGGUGGCAGCAGUGAGGAAUAUUGGUCAAUGGACGCAAGUCUGAACCAGCCAUGCCGCGUGCAGGAAGACGGCUCUAUGAGUUGUAAACUGCUUUUGUACGAGGGUAAACGCAGAUACGCGUAUCUGUCUGAAAGUAUCGUACGAAUAAGGAUCGGCUAACUCCGUGCCCGCAGCCGCGGUAAUACGGAGGAUUCAAGCGUUAUCCGGAUUUAUUGGGUUUAAAGGGUGCGUAGGCGGUGGGAUAAGUUAGAGGUGAAAUCGCGAGGCUACACUUCGGAAUUGCCUUUGAUACUGUGCGGCUAGAGAGUAGUUGCGGUAGGCGGAAUGUAUGGUGUAGCGGUGAAAUGCUUAGAGAUCAUACAGAACACCGAUUGCGAAGGCAGCUUACCAAGCUACUUCUGACGUUGAGGCACGAAGGCGUGGGGAGCAAACAGGAUUAGAUACCCUUGUAGUC
rnacentral:rRNA from 1 species